rnacentral:rRNA from 1 species
GAGUUUGAUCUUGGCUCAGGACGAACGCUGGCGGCGUGCCUAAUACAUGCAAGUCGAGCGAGGGUUUUUAAGACCCUUAGCGGCGGACGGGUGAGUAACACGUAGGCAACCUGCCUCUCAGACCGGGAUAACAUAGGGAAACCUAUGCUAAUACCGGAUAGGUUUUGGAUUGCAUGAUCCGAAAAGAAAGAUGGCUUUUCGCUAUCACUGGGAGAUGGGCCUGCGGCGCAUUAGCUAGUU